GCUAGCAGAAGACAAAAAAUAACUAACAGCAGAACUGAAGGAGAUAGAGACACGAAAAACCCUUCAAAAAAUCAGAGAGUGACUUUCAGUUGAAGGACAGAGCCAGACCAAGGUGACCGUACAGGGAAAAAGCUGGGAGAGUGAAUACCUAAUUUCACUCUUCCCUGUCUCUGAUCGCCAGCCCAAAUAGAAGCCAGGAGGAGCAGACACCCUGCUGAUGGAGCCCAACGAGGUCAGCCUCCCAUGGCUGAGAGAAGAAUGGAUUCUGGUUCUGGAGGAGCAGUCAGAAGAUAUGGGCAAAAACUUUGUCACAGUAUUGGCCACUUUAAAAAAUAGAUAUAUUCCAUACUUCUGCAGUGAGAUGGGCUGAAAAUAUAUUUGAAGCUGUUAUAUGAAAAGCCACAAAACCUUUCCUAGCUCCAGCUCCCUGGUUGCAGUUUCAUGACUGUGGUUCAUAUGUUUUAUUUUUAAAUUCACUUUUCUAUUACUGUUUUAAAAUGUACUUUGUCUAAGAUAUGUAUUAAAGGGCCAUAUUUUAUGAAAGUCCAUAAGGAGGCCUUCUUUGAGAAAUGACAUAUCCCUUUUUCUUUAACCAUCACUCUCAUCCCCUCUUUGGCUAUGACAUUUCCAUUGUUAGCAGUUGGUAGGAACCAGGCCAAGGAUCACAAGAAGCCAGGAAUUGCUGAGCUGACUGAACUGCCUUUACUCCCCUGCUUUGGAGCACCUGGAUCAACCAUACACAUUUACUGCUGCUUCUGAUGAUGUGUUUUUACAUUGAAUGCAUUUUUCAUGUUGUUUGUUAAAGAUAUGAAGGGAGAGUAACUCAGAUGAUUCUAUUAACAUAAUUAUAUUGAGAUAGGACUAAGGGAGAAUUUUGGUGUUUGCAAAGAAAUUAUUUUUAAGUUCUCUUUUUUUCCUGUAGAAAGAUGUCGUGUCUCUACUGAGAGCACUCACGAUGAUAAUGCCUCUGAUAAUGCCGAAGAAAACAUGCGUCUUUCAGGAAGCGUACAGGAAAUGAGAGAAGGCCUUGACAACUCAUGACAAGCAUCCUUAAUAUCCAGUGACUUCAUAUCCCCUUUCUGCACUGCAAUUCUAGGCAAUGGCCUGUCAGACCAGACAGUUCUACCACUGCAAAGACUUGUAACCAUUUUCUAGUAUCACAUUUACUUUUCAAGACAUAAGGAUCAUUCACUGACCCACUACCUGCAUUGAGUAUAAAUGCCUGGAUGUUAAGGAUUUCAAUUUAACUUCAAAAAGAACUGUCUCAUUCAUUUACAUUCCUGUUCCAGUCAGCCCAGGAGGUUACAGUGAGCUCUUCGCUAAGAAUCUGGAAGAAAUGCAUCACUAGGGGUUGGUUCCCAAUCUGAUCAACUGAUAAUGGGUGAGAGAGCAGAUAAGAGCAGAAGUCACCUUAGUGGAAAGGUUAAAAACCAGAGCCUGGAAACCAAGAUGAUUGAUUUGACAAGGUAUUUUUGUCUAGUUUUAUAUGAAUGGUUAUAUCAGGGUAACCAACUCAAUUUGGGAUGAAUCUUAGGGAGGCCAAAGAGUAAGACUGUCGGUAUCUUUAAGAUUGCUAGGAAAAAGGGCCCUAUCAACAUAAGAAUCUCUGAAGUUAGGUUACACCUGACCACACGAGGCUUGCAUAGUUGAUUGACUAGCCAUGAAGAUAAUUUGAACUCUUCUGGCUCAAUUGGCAUAUUACUAAUCAGUCUUCUAAUAAAUUUAGAUUUUCAUAUAAAUUUUUAAGCAAGAAGAGAAGCGAGAGCUCAGCUAAUCUAAUCUGUUUCCCUUAAUUUUAAUCAUCAACUUACGUAAAAGAAACAGUCUACUCUUAAUGCUUGUGAACUUAUCACUAUAACCAGGCUUUUGUGUGACUUAGUCGAUCAAGGUUUUGACUCUAUAAGAGAAAGCAAAUUCUGAAUUGUGGUGUAACUUCCACCUGGUCCAAUUUUAUCAUAUGACCUCAGUUUCACAAUCCUAUACCUUGUAUGUAGUUAACUCUGUUUUUGCUACAAUGUUGUAAUGGGUUAUCACAAAUAGCAAAGUAUUAAGAAUUCCAGUCAGAAUGAUGAUUAUUAAAAAGUCAAGAAACAA